rnacentral:lncRNA from 1 species
UCAACUUCAUCUUUAUUUUAAAGAAAUUAAAUGCCUCAAGCAUGUUCAUGCAUCAUGCUGUUUAUAGUAGGUUGAUUGCACUAGUUUCACGAAUAUGGUGCGUUGCAUAAUAUGAUGACUAUGAUGAUGUGGAUGGACCAAGGCGACUCCAAUAGCCUUAGAAAUGUUGUAAGACCUGGCCGGGCCAGGCAUACAGAUGUUGUAAGACCUGGCCGGGCCAAACAUACAGAUGUUGUAAGACCUGGCCGGGCCAGGCAUACUGAUACUGGAGGGAGUUUUGGUGGUCAUGUCCAUCUGUGAUAUGAAAUGUUUGUGAUGUGAUGCAUUUCAUGAGAGCAUGUAAUUCAUGAACUAGUUUUCAGUGUUUCUACUCACUGGGCU